UUAUAUUGCAUUGCAUCUUUGACAGAACAGGAACAGAGGGGCGAAAGUCGAAAAACAACACAGGAAAAAGUUUUCCUUCGGCAAAUUUGUGUGGCUCAGCGUUUACUAUCCGGGUUGGCGAAUGUCCACGGAGUGUUUCAGAACGUGAUCAGGCUACCGUGCUGUCACGGUCGAAGGUGUGAAAGUGGUUCGGUUACCUUAGCUCCCCGGUCAAACAAGGUCAGAUCGAGCGCCGCAUUUACCUAUAUUAUAGACGGAGAUGCAUGCGUCAGUACAGCGUCCGUCUCCAGGCUGGUGUCCACGUUCCUGUCAGUGUAUGAUGGCACCCGACGAUGUGUUGCCAUUGAUCAAAUCGAAAUCAAGCUGUUGGACAUCCCCGAAGGCAAGGCGGUUACGUUUGCGCGAAAUGAUGGCGAGCGCUUAAGAUACCAGUGGGUGGCUUGCUGCGAUUGGCGAUUGCCCGCUUCUGGCUGGGUGGUGUCCAAUUUCGAUUUCCUUUAAGAUGCGUCCGGUUGCAUCUGGAAGCGAUUAACCCUGUGAACCUGUAGUUGGUCUAUAGACUAUCUACAGGUAAGUAGCCUAUUGGAAAAUGCAUAUGCUCUUUAGAUAGUUCAGUAUUUUUGUCUCAAGUUUUGCUUACCUUUUCUUUUU